GCGGGCGUAGCUCAGCGGUAGAGCGUCUGCUUGCCAAGCAGAAGGUCGCGGGUUCGAAGCCCGUCGCCCGCU
rnacentral:tRNA from 1 species